UUGCUGUUUUCCUUUUGGUUUUGCAGCCGUCACUUGAUGCCUAUUCUCUCUGAUUUCUGUUUUUCUUCAGAAUUUUCCUUUCAGCCGUGCUCCCUAUCCUUCCUCCUCCUUGCGGCUGCUGAUUCUUGUUCCUUUUAUAUGAGCUCCAAUCCGUAAACCCUCUCUCGGAUGGUGAGGAUGAAGAGCUUAUCCUCCCUCUUCCAUCCAGCCAUCCGAUGGCUAUUGAAGUUGUACCUUGC
rnacentral:lncRNA from 1 species